rnacentral:rRNA from 1 species
UACAGAGGCCUCGAGCGUUAGGCGGAAUCACUGGGCUUAAAGCGUGUGUAGGCGGACUUCUAAGUACCUUGUGAAAUCCCACGGCUCACCCGUGGAACUGCUUGGUAUACUGGUUGUCUUGAGCCUUCUAGGGGCGAGUGGAACAAAUGGUGGAGCGGUGAAAUGCGUAGAUAUCGGGAAGAACACCUAUGGCGAAGGCAGCUCUCUGGGACGGUACUGACGCUGAGACGCGAAAGCGUGGGGAGCGAACAGG